rnacentral:rRNA from 1 species
UACAGAGGUCCCGAGCGUUGUUCGGAUUUACUGGGCGUAAAGGGUGCGUAGGCGGUUGGGUAAGUCUAAUGUGAAAUCCCCGGGCCCAACCCGGGAACGGCAUUGGAAACUACUUGACUAGAGGGUUGGAGGGGGGACUGGAAUUCCCGGUGUAGCAGUGAAAUGCGUAGAUAUCGGGAGGAACGCCGGUGGCGAAGGCGAGUCCCUGGACAACCCCUGACGCUGAGGCACGAAAGCUAGGGGAGCAAACAGG